CCUACGGGAGGCUGCAGUCGAGAAUCAUUCACAAUGGGGGAAACCCUGAUGGUGCGACGCCGCGUGGGGGAAUGAAGUUCUUCGGAUUGUAAACCCCUGUCAUGUGGGAGCAAAUUCAAAAGAUAGUACCACAAGAGGAAGAGCCGGCUAACUCUGUGCCAGCAGCCGCGGUAAUACAGAGGUCUCAAGCGUUGUUCGGAAUCACUGGGCGUAAAGCGUGCGUAGGCUGUUUCGUAAGUCGUGUGUGAAAGGCGCGGGCUCAACCCGCGGACGGCACAUGAUACUGCGAGACUAGAGUAAUGGAGGGGGAACCGGAAGUCGCGGUGUAGCAGUGAAAUGCGUAGAUAUCGAGAGGAACACUCGUGGCGAAGGCGGGGUCCUGGACAUUAACUGACGCUGAGGCACGAAAGCGUGGGGAGCAAACAGGAUUAGAUACCCUUGUAGUC
rnacentral:rRNA from 1 species